UGGAGGAAAGUAGGGGAUCGAAAGACCUUGCGCUAAAGGAGCGGCUGGUGUCUGAUUAGCUAGUUGGUGAGGUAAGGGCUUACCAAGGCGACGAUCAGUAGCUGGUCUGAGAGGACGACCAGCCACACUGGGACUGAGACACGGCCCAGACUCCUACGGGAGGCAGCAGUGGGGAAUUUUGGACAAUGGGCGAAAGCCUGAUCCAGCCAUGCCGCGUGAGUGAAGAAGGCCUUCGGGUUGUAAAGCUCUUUUAGUCGGAAAGAAAAAAUCAUGGUUAAUAGCCAUGAUUUAUGACGGUACCGACAGAAAAAGCACCGGCUAACUACGUGCCAGCAGCCGCGGUAAUACGUAGGGUGCGAGCGUUAAUCGGAAUUACUGGGCGUAAAGGGUGCGCAGGCGGUCUUGCAAGUCAGAUGUGAAAGCCCCGGGCUUAACCUGGGAAUUGCGUUUGAAACUACAAGGCUAGA
rnacentral:rRNA from 1 species